AACAAGGAUAAGCUCAGCAUGGAAAUCGGGGUCCUGGGCCCUGAAUUGUAGGCUGGAGAGGUAUUACCAGCGGAGGCGCAGAUGUAAGCCUUUUGGAAAAGAGCAUCAACGAGGGUGAGAGUCCCGCUUGUCAUCUGCAGUCCCCCGCGUACGGUCUGCCUUCCAAGAGUCACGUUCCUCGAGAUUGGAGCGCAAACUGGGUGGUAAAUUUCAUCUAAAGCUAAACAUUGGUUCGAGACCGAUAGCAAACAAGUACCAUGAGGGAAAGGUGAAAAGGACUUUGAAAAGAGAGUUAAAAGUGCCUGAAAUUGCUGAAAGGGAAGCGAAUGGAGCCAGUGUGUUAGAGCGAGAUUGUUGCGUGCCAUUGCGAUGGCUUCCUGCUUCAGCGCAAGCGUGGUAGGGAGUUUUGAGCAGGACGCGCGCAGUGCUUCUUGCUCUACGUGUCAUCUGCGGCCCACAUUUGGGGAAAACUCU
rnacentral:rRNA from 1 species